rnacentral:rRNA from 1 species
ACGCUCGACACCUACGGAGGCAGCAGUGGGGAAUAUUGCACAAUGGGGGGAAACCCUGAUGCAGCGACGCCGCGUGAGCGAAGAAGUAUUUCGGUAUGUAAAGCUCUAUUCAGCAGGGAAGAAACUGACGGUACCUGACUAAGAAGUCACCGGCUAAAUACGUGCCACAGCCGCGGUAAUCUGAGCGGGCGUGGCGAAGGC